AGUGAACGCUGGCGGUAGGCCUAACACAUGCAAGUCGAACGGCAGCACAGUAAGAGCUUGCUCUUACGGGUGGCGAGUGGCGGACGGGUGAGGAAUACAUCGGAAUCUACUUUUUCGUGGGGGAUAACGUAGGGAAACUUACGCUAAUACCGCAUACGACCUACGGGUGAAAGCAGGGGAUCUUCGGACCUUGCGCGAUUGAAUGAGCCGAUGUCGGAUUAGCUAGUUGGCGGGGUAAAGGCCCACCAAGGCGACGAUCCGUAGCUGGUCUGAGAGGAUGAUCAGCCACAUUGGAGCUGGAACACGGUCCAGACUCCUACGGGAGGCAGCAGUGGGGAAUAUUGGACAAUGGGCGCAAGCCUGAUCCAGCCAUACCGCGUGGGUGACGAAGGCCUUGGGGUUGUAAAGCCCUUUUGUUGGGAAAGAAAAGCAGCAGGUUAAUACCCCGCUGUUCUGACGGUACCCAAAGAAUAAGCACCGGCUAACUUCGUG
rnacentral:rRNA from 1 species